rnacentral:tRNA from 1 species
GGUUGUGGCUCAGUGGCAGAGUGCUUGCCUUGCACAUGUGAGGCACUGGGUUCGAUCCUCAGCACCA